UACGUAGGCAGCGAGCGUUGUUCGGAGUUACUGGGCGUAAAGGGUGUGUAGGCGGUUCUUUAAGUUUGGUGUGAAAUCUCCCGGCUCAACCGGGAGGGUGCGCCGAAUACUGAGGGACUUCGAGUGCGGGAGAGGAAAGUGGAAUUCCUGGUGUAGCGGUGAAAUGCGCAGAUAUCAGGAGGAACACCAGUGGCGAAGGCGGCUCUCUGGGCCUUUCCUGACGCUGAGACGCGAAAGCGUGGGGAGCGAACCGG
rnacentral:rRNA from 1 species